rnacentral:rRNA from 2 species
CCUGGUGAUCCGAGCGUAGUGGACCCACCCGUUCCCAUCCCGAACACGGUCGUGAAACACUUCAGCGCUGACGAUACUAGACUGGAGACGGUCUGGGAAAAUAAGCCAUUGCCUGGG